UCAUUCUCUAAUGAGCACUUACAUCCUUAUAUUAGUGUCAUACACAAGUAAUUGUGAGAUCAAUUACCCUCUCCACUGAGCAUACACAGGAUGUACCAGUCUUACCAGAAACAUUGAUCCCCUACUCAAUGUUCCAUCGACUAGAAAUAUUUAAAAUUAGGAUUUUAAGAUUUUAGGUCUCACUGGUAUGAUCACAUCAUAACCCUAAAACCAUAGCCCUAAUUUAUGAGGUUCAUCAAAAUCAAAAAAAUAAGACACAGCAUAUGAUGAACUAAAUGCCUUUAUUUAUUUAAAACAUCAGUACAUGAGUUGUCGGGA
rnacentral:lncRNA from 1 species